CUUCAGUCAGUAAAGUCAACAAUGUUCUUUCACCCAUGGGAUUGAUGUUCAGAGGCUGCAAAUGGCAAGUAGCCCUUGGUAGUCUAUUCAGACUUUUGUGUAUCUAGGUGGCUUUAAGGGAUCUUAGGGAUAGUC